CCUUUAGAUGUAGACUGUAUUCCAGCCAUCCAGCCAUGAACAAGACUACUAAACCAGCUUACUUUUGCAAGGAUAAUUAAGAAAGAAAAGCUUAUCCCCUACAAGACAGGUAGCCACAGUUAUUGAAGAAUUAUUCACUUUUUAAAUAUUUUCUUCUAAGUAAGCACAACGACAUUAAGAAAUUUACUUUUUAGAGUCUAUAUAAGGAAAAGGGCCUUAGGAUUUGCUACAGCCACACUCACUUCAGCAACAAUCACUUCAAAUUUUCAAGCAGCAGCAGCAGCCAGCGAAAUCUAAGAAAGGUCCCGUAAUCGAAAAAAGAUGGAUGAGAAAUUUCUAAAAUCAUUAGAUACAAGAAAAUAUGAUCUCAAAUCCUGUGAAUUACCCAUCUCAAGUUACAGAGACUUGGGCGCCGGCUAUGGUGAAUUCAUCCCCUACAUUUUAGCAGGCACAGGUGGAUUUCAAGAACACAAACAAUUAAAUUGGCUAAAUUUAUUCAUAUCCACCAAAUUAUUAGAAUUUUCAAAUAGAUUCAAAAAAUUAGGAGAAACAUUGGAUGAAAGCACGAGGGAAAUCACAAACAGGAUCAAAUUGAAAGAAAAGCAAAAUGACAUGGAAGGGAUAAAACAGGAGAUGGCUAAAUUGCCUGAAAAUUUAGCACGUAUGUUAAGCGACAUUGAUGAUAAAACACAUAGGAUAGAGCAUAUGGAGUGCAGCAUGGAAGAGAACAUGUAUAAGAUCAAUAAGGGUCAAAUUAAAAUUAUGGAAGAAUUGAGGGACUUGAAAAGGGAAAUAAAAGAGUUAAAGGAGGAUGUGAAAGAAGUUAAAAUAAAAAUUAGUGCGAAAGAAAGCUAAGGGUAUGUUUUGCACGUCGUGGAUGUAAUAACGAAGCUCGUUUGUCAUCGGUGUUGUGUGGAAGAAUCGAAGAUGGAGUGAACGAGUGUUUAGGAUUUUAAAGUUUAAUUUCAAAGGAUUAUUGUAUGUAGGUAUGUGAGUGUGUUUCUAAUAUAAGGAAUGGUGUAAAAUAAAUUACAGUUUAGGGUGUUGUUAUAUAAGGAAGGAAAGCGUCUUUUAAGAUUGUUAGAGGCACCUAUCUAAGUGUUGUGUGAGUGUGUGUGUUUUUUUUAGUGUAUGUAUUAUGGACCUGUUGCUGUGGUAUAAGUUUAGCUCCUUUGCGUGUGUCUUGUGAUGUUGUGUAUGUUUUAGUAGAGCUCUUGGCUCCUAUAUUUCAAUGAUAAUAAAAUAUAUUUUAAGUACA